UUAAGCAUAUUAAUUAGGGGAGGAAAAGAAACUAACCAGGAUUUUCUUAGUAGCGGCGAGCGAAAAGAAAUCAGUUCAGCACUAAGUCACUUUGUCUAUAUGGCAAAUGUGAGAUGCAGUGUAUGGAGCGUCAAUAUUCUAGUAUGAGAAAUUAACGAUUUAAGUCCUUCUUAAAUGAGGCCAUUUACCCAUAGAGGGUGUCAGGCCCGUAUAACGUUAAUGAUUACUAGAUGAUGUUUCCAAAGAGUCGUGUUGCUUGAUAGUGCAGCACUAAGUGGGUGGUAAACUCCAUCUAAAACUAAAUAUAACCAUGAGACCGAUAGUAAACAAGUACCGUGAGGGAAAGUUGAAAAGAACUCUGAAUAGAGAGUUAAACAGUACGUGAAACUGCUUAGAGGUUAAGCCCGAUGAACCUGAAUAUCCGUUAUGGAAAAUUCAUCAUUAAAGUUGUAAUAUUUUAACAAUAUUAUAAUAAUAGUGUGCAUUUUUUCCAUAUAAGGACAUUGUAAUCUAUUAGCAUAUAACAAAUUUAUCAUAAAAUAUGACUUAUAGUUUAUUCAAAUUAUUAUGCUUGCAUUUUAACAUAGAAUAAAUGUCAUUAAUUUGAUAAAGUGUUGAUAAAUUAAAAUUAAUACAGUGCGUUAAUUUUUCGAAAUUAUAUAAUGGCAUAAUUAUCAUUGAUUUUUGUGUUUAUUAUAUGCAUUUGUAUGAUUAACAAUGCGAAAGAUUCAGGAUACCUUCGGGACCCGUCUUGAAACACGGACCAAGGAGUCUAACAUAUGUGCAAGUUAUUGGGAGAUAAACCUAAUAGCGUAAUUAACUUGACUAAUAAUGGGAUUAGUUUUUUAACUAUUUAUAGAUAAUUAACACAAUCCCGGGGCGUUCUAUAUAGUUAUGUAUAAUAAUAUUUAUAUUAUUUAUGCCUCUAACUGGAACGUACCUUGAGCAUAUAUGCUGUGACCCGAAAGAUGGUGAACUAUACUUGAUCAGGUUGAAGUCAGGGGAAACCCUGAUGGAAGACCGAAACAGUUCUGACGUGCAAAUCGAUUGUCAGAAUUGAGUAUAGGGGCGAAAGACCAAUCGAACCAUCUAGUAGCUGGUUCCUUCCGAAGUUUCCCUCAGGAUAGCUGGUGCAUUUUAAUGUUAUAUAAAAUAAUCUUAUCUGGUAAAGCGAAUGAUUAGAGGCCUUAGGGUCGAAACGAUCUUAACCUAUUCUCAAACUUUAAAUGGGUAAGAACCUUAACUUUCUUGAUAUGAAGUUUAAGGUUAUGAUAUAAUGUGCCCAGUGGGCCACUUUUGGUAAGCAGAACUGGCGCUGUGGGAUGAACCAAACGUAAUGUUACGGUGCCCAAAUUAACAACUCAUGCAGAAACCAUGAAAGGCGUUGGUUGCUUAAAACAGCAGGACGGUGAUCAUGGAAGUCGAAAUCCGCUAAGGAGUGUGUAACAACUCACCUGCCGAAGCAACUAGCCCUUAAAAUGGAUGGCGCUUAAGUUGUAUACCUAUACAUUACCGCUAAAGUAGAUGAUUUAUAUUACUUGUGAUAUAAAUUUUGAAACUUUAGUGAGUAGGAAGGUACAAUGGUAUGCGUAGAAGUGUUUGGCGUAAGCCUUCAUGGAGCUGCCAUUGGCACAGAUCUUGGUGGUAGUAGCAAAUAAUCGAAUGAGACCUUGGAGGACUGAAGUGGAGAAGGGUUUCGUGUGAACAGUGGUUGAUCACGAGUUAGUCGGUCCUAAGUUCAAGGCGAAAGCCGAAAAUUUUCAAGUAAAAAAUCAGUGAGUAAUAUUGUCAAAUCUUUUAUGAUUUUUAAAUACUUGAAUAAUUUUGAACGAAAGGGAAUACGGUUCCAAUUCCGUAACCUGUUGAGUAUCCGUUUGUUAUUAAAUAUGGGCCUCGUGCUCAUCCUGGCAACAGGAACGACCAUAAAGAAGCCGUCGAGAGAUAUCGGAAGAGUUUUCUUUUCUGUUUUAUAGCCGUACUACCAUGGAAGUCUUUCGCAGAGAGAUAUGGUAGAUGGGCUAGAAGAGCAUGACAUAUACUGUUGUGUCGAUAUUUUCUCCUCGGACCUUGAAAAUUUAUGGUGGGGACACGCAAACUUCUCAACAGGCCGUACCAAUAUCCGCAGCUGGUCUCCAAGGUGAAGAGUCUCUAGUCGAUAGAAUAAUGUAGGUAAGGGAAGUCGGCAAAUUAGAUCCGUAACUUCGGGAUAAGGAUUGGCUCUGAAGAUUGAGAUAGUCGGGCUUGAUUGGGAAACAAUAACAUGGUUUAUGUGCUCGUUCUGGGUAAAUAGAGUUUCUAUCAUUUAUGGUAGUUACUUGUUCCCCGGAUAGUUUAGUUACGUAGCCAAUUGUGGAACUUUCUUGCUAAAAUUUUUAAGAAUACUAAUUGGGUUAAACCAGUUAGUUCUUAUUAAUUAUAACGAUUAUCAAUUAACAAUCAAUUCAGAACUGGCACGGACUUGGGGAAUCCGACUGUCUAAUUAAAACAAAGCAUUGUGAUGGCCCUAGCGGGUGUUGACACAAUGUGAUUUCUGCCCAGUGCUCUGAAUGUCAAAGUGAAGAAAUUCAAGUAAGCGCGGGUCAACGGCGGGAGUAAUGUCGUGCAGGUUGUGAUGCUCCCGAAACAACAAACCACAUCCUGCAGAAUUGUUACCGUACGCAUGGGAGGCGGGUAGCAAGACAUAACUGUGUAGUCAAUAACCUUAAGAGGAUUCUUGAGGAGAAGGGCCACACAGUGCACGUCGAACCAAGUUUGCAGCUGGAAACCUCGGUAAGUAAACCAGACCUGGUGUGUAUCCGUGACAAUCACGCUUGCGUGAUUGAUGCGCAGAUUAUAACGGAUGGACUGUUUCUCGACGAUGUGCACCAUCGCAAAGUUGAGAAAUAUAAAAGACCGGAAGUUAUAUCUGCACUGCGGAGAGAAUUCGGAGUGUCGGGCAACGUCGAAGUCCUAUCCGCGACGUUAAACUGGCGUGGGAUCUGGAGCAAUCAAUCCGUUAGAAGAUUGAUAGCAAAGGGUCUCAUCUCAUCCGGUGACAGCAAUGUCAUUAGCGCCAGAGUGGUAACAGGCGGACUAUAUUGCUUCAGACAGUUCAUGUAUCUCGCAGGUUACACUCGAGAUUGGACUUAGCCUAUACACUAUGUUGGCGAGAAGACGCUUGCUACCUAGGCAUAAUGUGAAAUUAGGUAUAAACAUCGUGGUUGUAAAACUUGAGGUGGGUUUUUAGUACGUAUGCGUGAUUACUUCGUAAUCAUGAAUCGUGCAUGCUAGUGGGGUUUGGCCUCCACUAGUAUCUUUGAAGAUUUUCCUUCCUCAGCGAUCAAAAAAAAAAAAA
rnacentral:rRNA from 1 species